UACGUAGGGUGCGAGCGUUGUCCGGAAUUAUUGGGCGUAAAGAGCUUGUAGGCGGUUUGUCGCGUCUGCUGUGAAAAUCCGGGGCUCAACCCCGGACUUGCAGUGGGUACGGGCAGACUAGAGUGUGGUAGGGGGAGACUGGAAUUCCUGGUGUAGCGGUGGAAUGCGCAGAUAUCAGGAGGAACACCGAUGGCGAAGGCGGGUCUCUGGGCAAUAACUGACGCUGAGGAGCGAAAGCGUGGGGAGCGAACAGG
rnacentral:rRNA from 1 species